GCCGGGAUCGCAUAAUCUGGUAUUGCACCGGAUUGCUAAUCCGGACCCUUUGGGUAUCUGGGUUCAAAUCCCAGUCCCGGCG
rnacentral:tRNA from 1 species